rnacentral:rRNA from 1 species
GAUGAACGCUGGCGGCGUGCCUAAUACAUGCAAGUCGAGCGAACAGACGAGGAGCUUGCUCCUCUGACGUUAGCGGCGGACGGGUGAGUAACACGUGGAUAACCUACCUAUAAGACUGGGAUAACUUCGGGAAACCGGAGCUAAUACCGGAUAAUAUAUUGAACCGCAUGGUUCAAUAGUGAAAGACGGUUUUGCUGUCACUUAUAGAUGGAUCCGCGCCGCAUUAGCUAGUUGGUAAGGUAACGGCUUACCAAGGCAACGAUGCGUAGCCGACCUGAGAGAGUGAUCGGCCACACUGGAACUGAGACACGGUCCAGACUCCUACGAGAGGCAGCAGUAGGGAAUCUUCCGCAAUGGGCGAAAGCCUGACGGAGCAACGCCGCGUGAGUGGCGAAGGUCUUCGGAUCGUAAAACUCUGUUAUUAGGUAAGAACAAAUGUGUAAGUAACUAUGCACGUCUUGACGGUACCUAAUCAGAAAGCCACGGCUAACUACGUG